GUGUAUGUGUGUGUGUUGUGUGUAUACUGUGUUGUGUGUGUCGGGAAUUGCUUCUGGGACUGCGGUGUCACUGCCCUGCUCCCUGGGCCUUCCUCCUCCUUGUCGCUGCCUGUCUGAAGCUCAAAGGAGAGCCCUGUGGUUCACCGUGGACGUUCCAGCCGGCCUGUGUCACUAGGAAGGGGACCCUGGUGUCCUGGGGUCUUUCGGCGCUUGCACGAGGCGCUGGUGGUGGAGCCUUCUCCACACCCCGACUUGCAGCCGAAGUCUCCUGAUUGAUGGGCUCCGUGCAGACGAGAUUGUCUGGGCAGAUCAAUUCCCACGUCAUGAAAAUGAGAAGUUCUGUCCUGAUACUUGAUCAUCUCUCUAUUGAAUUAUGUAGGCGUUUUACUCCCUUCCACAUUGGCUUUCUAUCAUUUCUUUUAAAAAAUUCCUCAUCUUAAUAAUGAAAAAAAAUGCAUGUGUCAUACUAGUUCUUGUUGUAAGGUUAUUUCUCUCCAUGAACUUGAAAACGUAUUACUCUCAGCCCCUGUGGUCGAUUUAACUUUUGGAAAAACUGCAAGUCCCACUCCAGUCUGGUCCCCUCGUGUGUAGUUUGCUAAGACACCCCUAGUCUGAUGUGUUGGCUGAAGACAGUAAUGGCAUCUUUAUCUUGAAAGUGUCUACAUAAGAGUUUGGAGAAUGUCUUUCUAGGACUGAAGUUGUAGCUGUUUCCUAGACUUAUGUUUAUUUUCCAUUUCUUUACCCACUACUGCUUGAAAUUCGGCUGUUGUUUGCAUGCUGUUCUCCUUUGUGUCCCCCUUUCCAUCUGUUCUUAAAACAAAAAUGAAAACAAAAACACAACCCCACAAAUGCAAGUGGGUUUUAUUUAAACCAAUCCAGAUGAUGGGAGCACAGUCUUGACAAUGCUUUGAAAACUAGUGGAAGAAUAUUCUUGUUAAGUGACUCAUCUACAGACUCAUUUUCCAUUGACAAUCUAUUAUUGGGGUUGAUGCCUGUUUCGAGAUGAAUGCCUGUUACUGAGGCAGGUUCGUUUACCCUGGAUAAGCAGUUGCUGAAGAAACUGUUUUUUGACAUGUGCUUCCCGUUUUAAUGUUUCCUUUUACAUCCUCAAACAAUCUCCUGUUGCAUGUAAUUUCCCACUGCCGUAUAUAAGGAUGGGUUGCAGGCAUCUUCUCCUGAGAUGCAGUUUAUUUCAUGCAGAGGUGGUUGUGGGAGGAGAUUCUGACAUCCUUCCCUUGGGGCGGUAGAAGCACUGUCACACUCAGUCCCUAUCCCUCAGGUGUCUCCUUUGUGCCCAGACCCUGACAACACCUCCUGCCAUCAGUCACCACUUUAUGGAGCCCGGAGGAGCAAAAGCUCAUGGCCUGAUUUCAAGUCACUACAAAUGAUUUGGGUCUCCUUUCUCAUCAGGGCCCGAGGAAGAGAGAGGGGCGGAAUGAUCAGCUGUGGUUCCUGAUCAUGAGUCUAGAGCUGAGAACAGGUUAGCGAUGUAUUAAGAUGUUUUAACAAAAGGAUAUUAUGAACUAUUUGGUUACUAUUAUUAUUCUUUAAAAUUUAUUUUUUAUUGAGGUGUACUUGAUUUACAAGUUGUACAGCAAAAUGAUUGUUAUACAUAUAUAUGUUUUUCAUAUUCUUUUCCAUUAUGGUUUAUUACAGGAUGUGGAUCUAGUUCCCUGUGUGAUACAGUAGGAGGACCUCAUUGCUUCUCCAUUCUAAAAGUAAUAGUUUGCAUCUACUAACCCAAAACUCCCAGUCCAUCCCACCCCCACCCCUCCGCCUUGGCAAUCACAAGUCUAUUCUCUGUGUCUGUGAGUCUGUUUUUGCUCUGUAGAUAGGUACAUCUGUGCUGUAUUUUAGAUUCCACAUAUAGGUGAUAUCAUAUGGUAUUUGUCUUUCUCCAUCUGAUUUACUUCGGUUAGUAUGAUCAUUUCUAGGUCCAUCCAUGUUGCUGCAAAUGGCAUUAUUUCAUUCUUCUUUAUGGCUGAGUAAUAUUCCAUUGCAUACAACUGCCACAUCUUCUUUAGCCAUUCCUCUGUUGUUGAACAUUUAGGUUGCUUCCAUGUCUUGGCUAUUGUGAAUAGCGCUGCUCUGAAUAUUGAGGUGCAUGGAUUUUUUUGACUUAUGGUUUUCUUCAGAUAGAUGUCCAGGAGUGGGAUUGCUGGAUCAUAUGGUAGGUUCUAUUUUUAGUUUUAUGAGGAAUCUCUAUACUGUUCUCCGUAGCAGCUGCACCAGUUUACAUUCCCACCCACCGUGUAGGAGGGUUCCUACACAUCAGAAGCCAAGCUGAAGUCAGCCCAAUGAGCAGUCACAGGACUGUGUCUCAGCAUCUUUGGCCAGGUGCCCACCUUGUGAUGCUCUCCAGAGCCCUGUAGUGGUGGGGCUUAUACAACAGGCCACUAAUGAUGUGAAGAUUGGAGUAAAGCCAGUACUCAUAAAACGUAAUGGAGCAACUAGGUAAGGAACUGGAUUGAAAGGGUUUAGAAUUAGAAGGAUAGGCUUUCCUAAUGGUAGAG
ensembl:lncRNA